AGAGUUUGAUCAUGGCUCAGGAUGAACGCUAGCGGCAGGCNUAAUACAUGCAAGUCGAACGGUAAAUAUUUAGCAAUAGAUAUGAGAGUGACGUACGGGUGCGUAACACGUAUGCAACCUACCCUUUACAGGCGGAUAGCUCGGGGAAACUCGAAUUAACCCGCCGUAAUAUAAUUGGAAGGCAUCUUUUGAUUAUUAAAUCUUUGGAGGUAAAGGAUGGGCAUGCGUCUGAUUAGUUAGUUGGCGGGGUAACGGCCCACCAAGACGAUGAUUAGUAGGGGAACUGAGAGGUUGAUCCCCCACACUGGCACUGAGAUACGGGCCAGACUCCUACGGGAGGCAGCAGUAGGGAAUAUUGGUCAAUGGAUGGAAGUCUGAACCAGCCAUGCCGCGUGCAGGAAGANUGGCCUUCUGGGUUGUAAACUGCUUUUGCCAGGGGAUAAAAGUCCCAUGCGUGGGAAAUUGAAGGUACCUGGUGAAUAAGCCACGGCUAACUACGUGCUAGCAGCCGCGGUAAUUC
rnacentral:rRNA from 1 species